rnacentral:rRNA from 1 species
GACGAACCGUGCGAACGUUGUUCGGAAUCACUGGGCUUAAAGGGCGCGUAGGCGGCUUGCCAAGUCAGGGGUGAAAUCCUCCAGCUUAACUGGAGAAGUGCCUUUGAUACUGGCAGGCUAGAGGGAGGUAGGGGUCUGUGGAACUUCUGGUGGAGCGGUGAAAUGCGUUGAUAUCAGAAGGAACGCCGGUGGCGAAAGCGACGGACUGGAUCUCUUCUGACGCUGAGGCGCGAAAGCUAGGGGAGCAAACGGG